UUGUCCCUACGGGGGGCAGCAGUGGGGAAUAUUGGGCAAUGGGCGCAAGCCUAACCCAGCAACGCCGCGUGAAGGAAGAAGGCUUUCGGGUUGUAAACUUCUUUUGUCAGGGACGAAGCAAGUGACGGUACCUGACGAAUAAGCCACGGCUAACUACGUGCCAGCAGCCGCGGUAAUACGUAGGUGGCAAGCGUUAUCCGGAUUUACUGGGUGUAAAGGGCGUGUAGGCGGGACUGAAACUCAGAUGUGAAAACCACGGGCU
rnacentral:rRNA from 1 species